rnacentral:rRNA from 1 species
ACGUUGAAAGUAAAAAGAUUUGGCGGUAUUUUAGUCUUUUCAGAGGAACCUGCGCCUUUAAACGAUAGUCCACGAUUAAUAAAACUUAUUUUUUGCUUGUAUAUCGUCGUAGUUGAUUGUUUUAUAAGAAAUUGAAUAGUCUAUUAUUUUUUAGAAUUGAAAUCAGAUCAAGGUGCAGUUUAUGGAUAAGUAGAGGUGGGUUACAAUAAAUUUAUUUAUACGGAUAAAUAACUUGAAAUUUUUUUAAAGGUGGAUUUGAAAGUAAUUUUAUUAAUUUUAGUAAAAUGAUUAAGCUCUAGAAUAUGUACAUAUCGCCCGUCACUCUCAUAAAAAUUGAGAUAAGUCGUAACAUAGUAGAUGUACUGGAAAGUGUAUCUGGUUUGACAAGCUAGAGCUUUUAUAAGCGUUUUAUUUACACUAAAGAGUUAAUUGUAUUCAGUUUAGUGAAUUUAUAUUUCUAUUGUUUUUUAAUUUUGUUUUUAUUUUAAAAAAAUAUUUUGAUUACUUUAUUUUUUAGAGUGUAGUUUUUUAGUUUUUAGUACUGUGAAGGAAUAUUAUUAAAAUAUUUAUAAGAAGUUAUUUAGACGUACCUUGUGUAUCAGGGUUUAUUAAUUAAUGUUUAUAUAUUUAAUUUUCCCGAAUUUUAAAGAGUUAACUAUUUUUAUGUUUUAUUGUUGAAUAAAUAUUCUUAAUAAUUAGUUAGAAAUGAAAUGUUAUUCGUUUUUUAAUAUAUCUGGUUUCCAAAGAAAUGAAUUUAAUUCAUUGUUUAAUAAUAAAUUUUCUUUUUUAUUAGUUAAUUUAUUUUAAGUUUUAAUAUACAAAGGGAUAAGCUUUUGUAUAAAUUUUUAUAAGAUAGUUGAUUUUUCUUUUAAGUAGGAUUAGAAAUUUCUUUCUUUAGUUUUUUAUAAUUAAUAAGGUUGUGUUAAAGUAUUUGGUGUUCUUUAGUUUUUUUAUUUGGGGGAUUUAUUUAAUUUAUUUAUAUAUGCCAUAAUGAUUGAAUUAGUAUAAUUUAAUUUAUAAUGUAUUUUUAAUUUUAGUUAAUUAAAAGGAACUCGGCAAUUAAUUCUUUUUGCCUGUUUAUUAAAAACAUGUCUUUUUGAUUAAAAUAUAAAGUCUGACCUGCCCUAUGAUUAAUUAAAUGGCCGCAGUAUUUUGACUGUGCGAAGGUAGCAUAAUCAUUAGUUUCUUAAUUAGGAACUGGAAUGAAUGGUUUGACAAAAAAGAUUCUGUCUCUUUUUUAAAUUUAGAAUUUUAUUUUUAAGUUAAAAAGCUUAAAUAAUAUUAAAAGACGAGAAGACCCUGUAGAUUUUCACAUUUUUAUAAUAAUUUUUUUGUUGAAUUUUUUUAUUUUUAUUAUAGUAAUGUUUAGUUGGGGUGACUGAAAAAUUUUAUGAACUUUUUUUAAUUUUUUU